rnacentral:rRNA from 1 species
ACGAACGCUGGCGGCAUGCCUAACACAUGCAAGUCGAACGAGACCUUCGGGUCUAGUGGCGCACGGGUGCGUAACGCGUGGGAACCUGCCCUUAGGUUCGGAAUAACUCCCCGAAAGGGGUGCUAAUACCGGAUAAUGUCUUCGGACCAAAGAUUUAUCGCCUUUGGAUGGGCCCGCGUUGGAUUAGCUAGUUGGUAGGGUAAAAGCCUACCAAGGCGACGAUCCAUAGCUGGUCUGAGAGGAUGAUCAGCCACACUGGGACUGAGACACGGCCCAGACUCCUACGGGAGGCAGCAGUGGGGAAUAUUGGACAAUGGGCGAAAGCCUGAUCCAGCAAUGCCGCGUGAGUGAUGAAGGCCUUAGGGUUGUAAAGCUCUUUUACCCGGGAUGAUAAUGACAGUACCGGGAGAAUAAGCUCCGGCUAACCCCGUG